GGCAAGCUUGGACACACAAGAGAUGGAAGUAUGUAUGGCUGGACAUAGUCACAUAUGAUUGAGUCCCAUUCCUCUAUACUGGAAUUAUYCCCGUCUCGAGCGGCAACUGCAGCCCUUUAGGAAGAGUAUGGCUCAAACUCUGGCCUAGCUCCAAUUCCUCAGCCCAUUUCCUGCUCUCUCCCUUGCUGACCUGUGCUCGGAGCCCCUGCGCUGUAGCCGCUGGAGUCACGGACCGUUACCUACUGCACUGCUGAGGAGAAUGCAGCGCUCUGCUUAAACGUCAGCUCGAUCAAGUGAAGAUAUUUAGACUCCCUCCAAGCAGAGCA